CAUCCAUGGCUGUUUCUUUCCUCCGGGCAAGCGCUCUGCCCGUGCUCUUUACUCUGAGAACCCAGCGCAUGGCUCCCAUCUUUCUUGCUUUUUCUUUUUCGUACACUCUCGAUGAAUUUUUUGUGUGUACGCGGAGGGUUGUCUUCCGAGGGGUGGCCUGCCACAUCUCAUAAUAUAGGGAAAUAGGGACCAAGAAUGUGCCGUCC
rnacentral:lncRNA from 1 species